rnacentral:misc_RNA from 1 species
AUUACCUAGGAUAUGGGUUUUAUAUAUGAUCUCAUAAGUAUGGUAUGUUAUUGAUCUUUUUUGCUCACAUUGUCUCAGGCCAACCUUUCACAAAAUAUUCAAGAAAAAAUCGACCCAAGAAUUCCAGUCCUUACCAUAUUCAGUAGCGCUGUUUAGUGCCAUGUUAAUGCUGUAUUAUGCCUCUCUCAAGCCAGAUUCAUUUAUGCUAAUUACCAUCAACUCCCUCGGUUGCAUCAUUGAAACCAUCUACCUCAUCAUUUUCAUGAUAUAUGCAACCAAAACCUCCACGGUAUACUAUUAUUAUCAUAUCUCUCUCUCUUUCUGUCUGUUAUAUAUAUAUAUAGUUUUAAAUUGACAGUAAGUGUUGUACCAUCUGGCAGAUUUAUGCCUUGAAGCUACUUAUUGAUAAGAGACAAAAUCCCUUUGACUCAGCUGAUA